rnacentral:rRNA from 1 species
ACGCUGGCGGCAUGCUUUACACAUGCAAGUCGGACGGCAGCACUGAGAAGCUUGCUUCUUGGGUGGCGAGUGGCGAACGGGUGAGUAAUAUAUCGGAACGUACCGAGUAAUGGGGGAUAACUAAUCGAAAGAUUAGCUAAUACCGCAUAUUCUCUGAGGAGGAAAGCAGGGGACCUUCGGGCCUUGCGUUAUUCGAGCGGCCGAUAUCUGAUUAGCUAGUUGGUGGGGUAAAGGCCUACCAAGGCGACGAUCAGUAGCGGGUCUGAGAGGAUGAUCCGCCACACUGGGACUGAGACACGGCCCAGACUCCUACGGGAGGCAGCAGUGGGGAAUUUUGGACAAUGGGCGCAAGCCUGAUCCAGCCAUGCCGCGUGUCUGAAGAAGGCCUUCGGGUUGUAAAGGACUUUUGUCAGGGAAGAAAAGGCUGUUGCUAAUAUCGACAGCUGAUGACGGUACCUGAAGAAUAAGCACCGGCUAACUACGUGCCAGCAGCCGCGGUAAUACGUAGGGUGCGAGCGUUAAUCGGAAUUACUGGGCGUAAAGCGAGCGCAGACGGUUACUUAAGCAGGAUGUGAAAUCCCCGGGCUCAACCUGGGAACUGCGUUCUGAACUGGGUGACUAGAGUGUGUCAGAGGGAGGUAGAAUUCCACGUGUAGCAGUGAAAUGCGUAGAGAUGUGGAGGAAUACCGAUGGCGAAGGCAGCCUCCUGGGAUAACACUGACGUUCAUGCUCGAAAGCGUGGGUAGCAAACAGGAUUAGAUACCCUGGUAGUCCACGCCCUAAACGAUGUCAAUUAGCUGUUGGGCAACUUGAUUGCUUAGUAGCGUAGCUAACGCGUGAAAUUGACCGCCUGGGGAGUACGGUCGCAAGAUUAAAACUCAAAGGAAUUGACGGGGACCCGCACAAGCG